CCAAUAGCGUAUAUUAAAGUUGUUGCAGUUAAAAAGCUCGUAGUUGAAUUUCGGGAUCAGUACGCUGGUCGUGCCUUCGGUAUGCACUGGUUUCACUGAUUCCUCCCUUCUGAAGAACCGUAAUGCCAUUCAGUUGGUGUGGCGGGGAAUCAGGAUUGUUACUUUGAAAAAAUUAGAGUGUUUAAAGCAGGCUCGCGCUUGAAUACCUUAGCAUGGAAUAAUGAAAUAGGACGUUUGAUCCUAUUUUGUUGGUUUCUAGGAUUGACGUAAUGAUUAAUAGGGAUAGUUGGGGGCAUUAGUAUUCAAUUGUCAGAGGUGAAAUUCUUGGAUUUAUUGAAGACUAACUACUGCGAAAGCAUUUGCCAAGGAUGUUUUCAUUAAUCAAGAACGAAAGUUAGGGGAUCGAAGACGAUCAGAUACCGUCGUAGUCUUAACCAUAAACUAUGCCGACUAGGGAUCGGAUGAUGUUAAUUUUUUAAUGACUCAUUCGGCGCCUUACG
rnacentral:rRNA from 1 species